UGGGGGAUAUUGCACAAUGGGGGAAAUCCUGAUGCAGCGACGCCGCGUGGGUGAAGAAGCGCCUCGGCGCGUAAAGCCCUGUCAGCAGGGAAGAAAAUGACGGUACCUGAAGAAGAAGCCCCGGCUAACUACGUGCC
rnacentral:rRNA from 1 species